UGUGUCUGACUCUUAGCAACCCCAUGGACUGCAGCCUACUAGGCUUCUCUGUCCGUGGGAUUUUCCCGGCAAGAGUAGUGGAGUGGGGUGCCAUUGCCUUCUCCUGCAUACUUGAGCAGGCAGAAAUAACCACUGACUUUGAGAUAGGUCAGUUAUCUGAGACUGAGAAUCAGAAAGACAAAUGAAAAGGAACAGGACCCAAAGACUCAUCAGACAACAUUAAGCCUACCAACAUACAUAAUUGGGGGUCCAGAUAAAGAGAAGGGGGAGAAAAGAAUAAGAAGUAAUGACUUAAAAUUUGCCAAGUUUGGUGAACUCUUUGAAUCUACACAUUCAAGAAGCUCAAAGAUUCCAAAUAUGAUAAACUCAAGAGACCCAUACCUAGAACACAUGGUCAAAAUGUCUAAAGCAAAAGACAAUGAAUCUUGAAAUCAGCAAAAGAAAAAUAGUUCAUCACAAACAAGGACACUUCAAUAAUACUGACAACUGUAUUCUCAUUAGAAAGCAGAGGCCAGAAGGCAGUGGGAUGAUAUAUUUGAAAUGCUGAAAGAAAAAGCUAUAUCUAAGAAAACUAUGCAGAAGUGAAGUUAUAAAAAGACAUUCCCAGAAGUGCAUGAAACCCAGGGCCCACUUUGGACAUUUCCCCUACAGAGCAACCUGGAGCCUGAGAAGUAUAGACCGGGAAAGCACACACACCGUGAGCAGCAAGCCCAAGUGUGGUCCAUACACUGUGAGCACACCCCACACAUGCCAGUGAUAUUUGUUUGCAGUGUUCCUCCCUCCCCACAACACAACUGAACAAAUGAGCCUAUAUAAGUGACCACCUUCGCCUCCUUGUGUCAGGGCAGAAAUUAGACACUGAAGAGAUUUUCAGACAGAGGAAGCCAAAAUAAACAAAGAGGGAACCGCUCUAGAAGUGACUGGUGCAACAGAUUAAAACCCUAUAGUUAGCAUUGACUAAGCAUUGGAAGGGGCCUAUAGACCUUGAGAAGAAGUAUAAGCUGGAACAAGGAACUAUCUGAAACUGAACUGACCCCACACUGCCCCCAAC
ensembl:lncRNA